GGCGCGCGAUACAGGGUGACAGCCCCGUACACAAAAAUGCACAUGCUGUGAGCUCGAUGAGUAGGGCGGGACACGUGGUAUCCUGUCUGAAUAUGGGGGGACCAUCCUCCAAGGCUAAAUACUCCUGACUGACCGAUAGUGAACCAGUACCGUGAGGGAAAGGCGAAAAGAACCCCGGCGAGGGGAGUGAAAAAGAACCUGAAACCGUGUACGUACAAGCAGUGGGAGCACGCUUAGGCGUGUGACUGCGUACCUUUUGUAUAAUGGGUCAGCGACUUAUAUUCUGUAGCAAGGUUAACCGAAUAGGGGAGCCGAAGGGAAACCGAGUCUUAACUGGGCGUUAAGUUGCAGGGUAUAGACCCGAAACCCGGUGAUCUAGCCAUGGGCAGGUUGAAGGUUGGGUAACACUAACUGGAGGACCGAACCGACUAAUGUUGAAAAAUUAGCGGAUGACUUGUGGCUGGGGGUGAAAGGCCAAUCAAACCGGGAGAUAGCUGGUUCUCCCCGAAAGCUAUUUAGGUAGCGCCUCGUGAAUUCAUCUCCGGGGGUAGAGCACUGUUUCGGCAAGGGGGUCAUCCCGACUUACCAACCCGAUGCAAACUGCGAAUACCGGAGAAUGUUAUCACGGGAGACACACGGCGGGUGCUAACGUCCGUCGUGAAGAGGGAAACAACCCAGACCGCCAGCUAAGGUCCCAAAGUCAUGGUUAAGUGGGAAACGAUGUGGGAAGGCCCAGACAGCCAGGAUGUUGGCUUAGAAGCAGCCAUCAUUUAAAGAAAGCGUAAUAGCUCACUGGUCGAGUCGGCCUGCGCGGAAGAUGUAACGGGGCUAAACCAUGCAC
rnacentral:rRNA from 1 species